rfam:Zostera marina strain Finnish scaffold_68, whole genome shotgun sequence.
UCCAUUGUAGUCCAGUGGUUAGGAUACCUGGCUUUCACCCAGGCGACCCGGGUUCGAAUCCCGGCAAUGGAA